CUCAAUGGAGAGGGUAGUUGAUCUCAUAGGCCACUUGUCUGGAGAUAGUAAUACAAGGAUAUAGGUGCUCAUUAAAGAAUGAGUUCACUGAAUUGACCCACUAACAGAGAAUAUCUUAUGGAGCCUUACAUAUAUGUUAAAAGAUGAUUCUCUAAGUAGGACUUGUGCAAGUGAUCCUUAGACCUGAGCCCAUCAUGGAACCAUGUACAUAUGAACCC
rnacentral:lncRNA from 1 species